UACGGAGGGUGCAAGCGUUGUUCGGAUUUAUUGGGCUUAAAGCGCGUGUAGGCGGUUUCUUAAGUCUGAUGUGAAAGCCCUGGGCUCAACCCGGGAAGUGCAUUGGAUACUGGGAGACUUGAAUACGGGAGAGGGUAGUGGAAUUCCUAGUGUAGGAGUGAAAUCCGUAGAUAUUAGGAGGAACACCGGUGGCGAAGGCGGCUACCUGGACCGAUAUUGACGCUGAGACGCGAAAGCGUGGGGAGCAAACAGG
rnacentral:rRNA from 1 species